rnacentral:misc_RNA from 1 species
GAUGAAGAACGCAGCGAAAUGCGAUAAGUAGUGUGAAUUGCAGAAUUCAGUGAAUCAUCGAAUCUUUGAACGCACAUUGCGCCCCUUGGUAUCCCGAGGGGCAUGCCUGUUCGAGCGUCAUUUCACCACUCAAGCCUGGCUUGGUGUUGGGCGACGUCCCCUUUGGGGACGCGCCUCGAAACGCUCGGCGGCGUGGCACCGGCUUUAAGCGUAGCAGAAUCUUUCGCUUUGGAAGUCGGGGCCCCGUCUGCCGGAAGACCUACUCGCAAGGUUGACCUCGGAUCAGGCAGGGAUACCCGCUGAACCUAAGCAUAUCAAUAAGCGGAGGA